rnacentral:rRNA from 1 species
UUAAUAUUUUAUUUUUUAUUAUUUUUAUUUUUUUUUAGUUUUGUUUGUUCUUUUUUAGUUUGUAUAAUAAAUAAUUAUCAAUUUUGUUACUGUUAAGGUUUUAUAUUUAAUAUGUUGCUAUUAUUGAUUUAGUACCUUUUGUAUCAGGGUUAAUUUAUUAUUAAAUUUAUAUUUAUUAUCCCGAAUUAAAGAGAUUUAAUUGUGUAUAUAUUCUAUGAGUGUCAUGUUUUAAGUUAAUUCAUUUUUGGUAAUUAUAAGUUAUUCGUUCUUUAAAGAUAUCUGGUUUUGUUUGAUUUAAAUUUAAUUUAAUUCUAUAAUUUAGAUUUAUAUAAUGGGGGAUAAUCUCUAUUUUUUGUUAUAAUUUAUUUUAUUAUUAUUUUUAUUAACAUUGGUAUCUUUGUAUUAAGUUCGUAAUUGAUUUAAUUUUUUAUUUAUGAUUUUUUUAUAUUUAUCUUUUUAUUACAAUUAUUUAAUUAAUUUUUGUUUAUUUUUAUUAAUGAUUAAAUUAGUAUAAUUUAUAUAUAAAUAUUUAUGAAUUCAACAAUUUUUAAUUUCCAACUGUUUAUCAAAAACAUUUCUUUAAGGUUUUAUUUAAAGUAGUUUCUGCCCUAUGAUUUAAAUAAUUUAAAUGGCUGCAGUAUCUUGACUGUACAAAGGUAGCAUAGUAAUUAGUUUCUUAAUUAGGGACUUGAAUGAAUGAAUUAAUGAGAAAUUUAUUUUAUUAUAAUUAUUUUUUUAAUUUAAUUUUUAAGUUAAAAUGCUUAAUUAUAUGUUUGGGACGAUAAGACCCUAUAGAACUUUAAAGUUUUAUUUAUUUUUUUUAUUUUAGAUUUAUUUUUAAUUAAUAUAUUAAACUUUUUUGCUGGGGUGGUGAAUAAAUAUUAACUUUAUUUUUUUAUUUCAUUAAUUUAUGAUUAUUAUGAUCCAUUAUUUAUGAUUAUAAGAUUAAGUUACCUUAGGGAUAACAGCGUAAUUUUAAUGGGGAGUUCAUAUUUAUAUUAAAGUUUGCGACCUCGAUGUUGAAUUAAGAUUAAAUUAGGGGGUAGGUUCUUUAAAUUUAGGUCUGUUCGACCUUUAAAUUCUUACAUGAUUUGAGUUCAAACCGGUGUAAGCCAGGUUGGUUUCUAUCUAAUUAUAAGUUUAAUUUAUUUAGUACGAAAGGACCAAUGAGUUCUAUGAUUAAUAGUUUUA